GCUUCAUUGGAUCAACAAUCUUUUUCAACACUUCAUCUGCUUUGACAAGAACAUUUAAUUUAAACUCCUCUUGUUGGCUGUUUCCUCUCCUCUUGUUGGCUGUUUCUGAGAAGUAAAGCGUGGAAAUCUUGUGGAGUCAACACGGAAGAAUUGCUCAUCUGCGGGACGAGACACUUCUGACUUCAGGACGUCCGUCUGGAAUUAGUUCCCACUUAAUAACAAGAAUGAGUUCUCCACAAAAGAAACAGAGAGGAGGAGAGGGACCCAAACGUCACCACUGUCAGCACUGUGACAAAUCCUUCACAACAUCUGGAUAUUUAAAGAUUCAUCAGAGAGUUCACACUGGAGAGAAUCUACACAGCUGUGAUCAAUGUGGGGCAGCUUUCACACAACAGAGUACCCUAAAAACACAUCAACGCAUUCACACUGGAGAUAAACCUUACAGCUGUGAUUUAUGUGCCAAAACCUUUUCUCAGAGUGGUCACCUAGAAAAGCACCAGCGUGUUCACACUGGAGAGAAGCCGUACUGGUGUGAUCAAUGUGGGGAAACAUUUUCUGAGAGUGGUAGCCUUAAAAGACAUCAACGCAUUCACACUGGAGAUAAACCUUACAGCUGUGAUUUAUGUGCUAAAACCUUUUCUCAGAGUGGUGACCUAGAAAUCCACCGACGUGUUCACACUGGAGAGAAGCCGUACUGGUGUGAACAAUGUGGGGAAAUGUUUUCUCGGAGUAGUUACCUCAAAAGACAUCAACGCAUUCACACUGCCUCGUAGUGAAGAUGUUUGAGAGCCAAGCUGUUUCCUCCUGCCUCCUCCUCAUGCCCUGAUAGCUGUGUUGUUAUAUUCUGAUCUUCUCUCCACAUUGAAGGCUGACCAGCAGUAACUUUAUCUUCUGAACAGCAUGGAUGUUAUCCUGGAUCAGCUGGACGGUUUUCUGCCUUUCCUCAGAACACUCGACUUUGUGACAUUUAUUUGUAAUUUUUUUUAACAUAUUUUUGGAGAUUUUUCCAUGCUAAUGUUGAAGCGGUUUUACCUCAAUGUACCCACAGUGUGAGGGGGAAGGCCCAAAGGCGACCAUUUAGUAUUUCUCUGAUGAAAGAUGACAUAGGCUGCUCUGCCUAAACGUUAAGAGGUUUAAAGAUGUUUCGGUUGGAAAACGUAGGCAUGUUUGAAAUUUGGUAAAAACUUUGUUCUCAUCUUUAGUAACAUAUUACAUUAUGUUUUACUUUUCUUUUGCCUGACAGGAAGUCAGUCUAAUUUUCAUUUUAGGAAUACAUGUUUAAGGACUUUAGGAUGCACAGAAACUCUCAAAAUGUUGCAGCAAUGUUCAAAAUAGUAAUUUCUCCGGGCUGCUUUCACAUUUGGGCCUAGACGUGUCAUGGCUGCUCUAUAGGGCCCUCUUAUUUGUUUUAGCCUUUGAACACAUUUUUGACGCCCUUAUAUACUCCAAAACUCCCAAAAGUUGGUGCAAAAACCAUAACGAGACUAUACAGCGAUUUGGUCCAUGUGAGUUUAAUAAGCACACCCUGAUGCAUGGAAGGCCAUGCAAACAUUCCUCUCAUCGUUACCGACAUACUGGAAGUUGGCCAUUUGUAAUUGUAUGCUCUCCAGUUAUUGUUGUUUUGUAGUUUACCAUCAUAUUAUCUUCCUUUGUGGACUUUAAUUUAAUAAUCUUUGUCUGACAUUUCAUAUUCUCUGUUUGUAUUUUCUGUGACUGAAUGUGGUUUUAAAUCUGUUGAGGUCUGUUCAGACUGAAAGUAAAGACACUGAUGAUGUAAUACACAGUCAGAAAAUAGAAAGCAAACAGCUGAUUUAUUUAUCUGACUUGUAGAAUAACAUCAAUGAUUGAAUUGUUUUAAAUGUUUUGGAAUGUGGAACAAUUAAAUGCAAAUAAAUCUAAUAAAACAAGGCCUCAUGCUGAUUAUUAGUGACUUGAUUUGAUGGAUUUAUUCUUCCUGUUAUGUCUGUGUUUAAACUCCUAAUUAAAAGGUAAAGUUUCCAUCCA